rfam:Schistosoma mattheei strain Denwood, Zambia genome assembly, scaffold: SMTD_scaffold0016877
GCACUGCUGAGGAGUUCCACAAUAGGACGAAACGGCCGCCCGGUGC